GACGAACGCUGGCGGCGUGCCUAAUACAUGCAAGUAGAACGCACAGUUUAUACCGUAGCUUGCUACACCAUAGACUGUGAGUUGCGAACGGGUGAGUAACGCGUAGGUAACCUGCCUGGUAGCGGGGGAUAACUAUUGGAAACGAUAGCUAAUACCGCAUAAUAUUAAUUAUUGCAUGAUAAUUGAUUGAAAGAUGCAACUGCAUCACUACCAGAUGGACCUGCGUUGUAUUAGCUAGUAGGUGAGGUAACGGCUCACCUAGGCGACGAUACAUAGCCGACCUGAGAGGGUGAUCGGCCACACUGGGACUGAGACACGGCCCAGACUCCUACGGGGGGCAGCAGUAGGGAAUCUUCGGCAAUGGACGAAAGUCUGACCGAGCAACGCCGCGUGAGUGAAGAAGGUUUUCGGAUCGUAAAGCUCUGUUGUAAGAGAAGAACGGGUGUGAGAGUGGAAAGUUCACACUGUGACGGUAUCUUACCAGAAAGGGACGGCUAACUACGUGCCAGCAGCCGCGGUAAUACGUAGGUCCCGAGCGUUGUCCGGAUUUAUUGGGCGUAAAGCGAGCGCAGGCGGUUAGAUAAGUCUGAAGUUAAAGGCUGUGGCUUAACCAUAGUACGCUUUGGAAACUGUUUAACUUGAGUGCAGAAGGGGAGAGUGGAAUUCCAUGUGUAGCGGUGAAAUGCGUAGAUAUAUGGAGGAACACCGGUGGCGAAAGCGGCUCUCUGGUCUGUAGCUGACGCUGAGGCUCGAAAGCGUGGGGAGCGAACAGG
rnacentral:rRNA from 1 species